AAAAUCAAGGGCAUCUUGAUUUGGAACGAAUUUGAAAUAUACACAUAUCUGAAAAAGAGGGCUUUUCUCACUCCUCUCUCUCUACAUACACUCUGCAACUGCGACCUAGUAGAAAGACGACCCAAGAAGACGAUUGUUUCCGCUAAUCACACACAUAAGCGCCGCCGCAUUCUCUCUCUCAUCUGUCUCUAUUUUCUAUUUUCUCCCCCAUAUUUUCUUGCGAGGGUUUCAAUUUUGAUCUGUCCCUCGAAAGGUUUCAAAUCUCUCGACAUACGCACAAACACAUACAUAUCGAUCUGAAUCGAAUUCAUGGAGACCAUUCUCAUCGACUGUGUACAGAACAGUCUUCGUCACUUGCUGUAUCGAAACGCUAUUUUCAUCUGCGAGCGCCUAUGCGUUGAGUUUCCAUCAGAGACAAAUUUGCAAUUACUAGCUGACUGCUACUUGCACAACAAUCAAGCUUACUCCGCAUACCAUAUUUUAAAGGGAACACAAAUGGCUCAAUCCCGCUACUUGUUUGCAAUUUCAUGCUUCCAGAUGGAUCUUCUUAGCGAAGCAGAGGCAGCAUUAUGCCCUGCUAAUGAGCCUAGUGCAGAGGUUCCAAAUGGUGCAGCUGGUCACUAUCUUCUUGGGCUUAUAUACAGGUUCACUGAUAGAAGAAAAAGUGCCGUUCAUCACUUUAAGCAGGCGUUGUCGUUAGAUCCAUUGUUGUGGACUGCUUACGAAGAGCUCUGUAUAUUAGGUGCUGCUGAAGACGCAACAUCAGUUUUUGGUGACUCAGCUGCUCUUUGCAUUCAGAAGCAGCAUUUGCACCAUGGAUUGGCGGACCAGAGCUUGCCAGCAUCCAGUGAUGAUCAUAGUAUGGUUUCUGGUAGAAACUUAGGCUCAGAAGAUACCAGUCCAAGGCAAUUGAAGCAUAUGAAUGCCAAUAACCUAAGAGAUAAUGCUGUAACUUAUCAUGGAUCAGUUGCAUCGGGAGGUCCUCAUAGUCUGCCUCAAAAUGGUGGCCCUGCUAACAUGUCAUUCUUCAGUACUCCAUCACCUAUGGCCACUCAAUUGUCAGGUGUUGCUCCGCCCCCUGUAUGCAAAAAUAUGCAGCAAAACAACCCCAACCCUGGCAUGCUCGGUGUUGAUGGCUCGCCAAGGUCAACUGUGAACUCUACAAUUCAGGCCCCUCGAAGAAAGUUCGUGGAUGAAGGAAAAUUGAGAAAGAUAUCAGGGAGACUGUUUUCUGAUUCUGGACCUCGAAGAAGCACUAGACUUGCCGGUGAAACUAUGCCCAGCACAAAUUCAAGCACCAAUACUGUAGCCGGAAAUGGAACUAGCCACUCUUCUAAAUAUCUCGGUGGUUCUAAGUUUAGCUCUGUGACAUUUCGUCGUAAGGGACAACCCUGGGCUAAUGAAAAUUAUGAGGAAGGGACACGUCAAGAGGUUUAUGACGAUUCUCGUUCAAAUAAUACGACCUCUAGUUCAUCUUCGUCUGCUGAUAUUAGAACUCUUGAACAAGGAGCAGCCAUGCCAAUGGGUGGGGCUGUUAUGAGUGUAUCAAGAGUUAUAAGUGGUGCUUCAGAAAUAUUGGCUCUCCUAAAAACUCUCGGGGAAGGCUAUAGGCUUUCUUGCUUGUACAGGUGCCAGGAUGCGGUGGAUGUCUAUCUGAAACUUCCUCACAAGCAUUAUAAUACAGGCUGGGUGCUUUCCCAGGUUGGGAAAGCAUAUUUUGAAUUGGUUGAUUAUCUAGAGGCUGAUCGUGCCUUCAGUCUUGCCCGUCUGGCAUCGCCUUACAGUUUAGAAGGAAUGGAUAUAUAUUCUACAGUUCUAUAUCAUUUGAAGGAGGAUAUGAAGCUAAGUUACCUGGCUCAGGAACUGAUAUCAACUGACCGUUUAGCUCCUCAAUCUUGGUGUGCAAUGGGAAAUUGCUUUAGUUUGCAGAAAGACCAUGAAACUGCUCUUAAAAAUUUCCAGCGAGCAGUGCAACUGAAUUCCAGAUUUGCAUAUGCGCAUACCCUUUGUGGUCAUGAAUAUGUUGCCCUAGAGGAUUUUGAGAAUGGGAUUAAGAGCUACCAGAGUGCCCUCCGUUCUGAUUCGAGACACUAUAAUGCCUGGUAUGGUCUUGGAAUGAUCUACCUUCGCCAAGAGAAGUUUGAGUUCUCAGAGCAUCAUUUUCGAAUGGCUUUUCAAAUCAAUCCACGUUCUUCUGUUAUAAUGUCUUAUCUUGGGACAGCUUUCCAUGCCUUAAAGAGAAGUGAGGAAGCUUUACAGAUGAUGGAGAAGGCUAUUUUAGCAGAUAAGAAAAAUCCGCUUCCCAUGUAUCAGAAGGCUAAUAUACUAGUCAGCAUGGAAAGUUUUGAUGAAGCGUUGAUGGUCCUAGAGGAGCUUAAAGAGUAUGCCCCUCAUGAAAGCGGUGUGUAUGCCUUAAUGGGUAAGAUUUAUAAACGGCGUAACAUGUAUGACAAGGCAAUGCUUCAUUUUGGACUAGCUUUGGAUUUGAAACCACCUGCAACAGAUGUUGCUACCAUUAAGGCUGCCAUUGAGAAGUUGCAUGUACCAGAUGAGAUAGAAGAUUUGUUAUAAAUUUACUUGAGAUGAGAGUACAGAAAUACAGAGCAUGUUGUAAUUUAUUCCGCGUCAAACACUCGCCCUGAGGGGACUGGUCUGCCUGGCGGCUUUGACUAAUGGUGGAACUGGAUGACCUGAUCUUUGAGGCUUAUCAUCAUUACUGGUUCUUUUGGGGACACAUGAUCAACUAUGAACAAUACAGAUAAAGAUUGUUCUAAGAUGCCUCCUGCAGCUGGUAGAUUCUGUGACUGUGGAACUCACAGUUUUGUAGAUGCAACAUGAACUCUAUUGUCAUUAGCAAAUCUGGGCUUUUUGGACUCUGGCACAUGGCUAAGCUUUUUGUCUCCUUUAUAGCUGGAAGUUCUCCAAAAAUUAGGAAAAGCUGGAGGACUUUGUACCAUCCAUUCCGGUGUGGUAGGAAUCUGUUCAACAGCCCAAGGACUUGGAGCACAUCUUUUGUUCUUUUCGGCGUAUCCAUGUCGUAUCGUGUCUGUGUCCUUUGUUCAUAUCCAUGCUUCUUAGGUCCUAGAUAUGCAAGGUAAUAGGACAGAAAGAAUGAUAGAAGACAGAAAUUUUGAGUUUUAACAUUAUUUUACAUUAGGAAACCCUGCCCAUUAUUUAUGCUUGAAUGUGAGCUUGAAAAGGAUAAAUCAAAGAUUUUCCUUAGACAUGGUUAGAAUCAUUUCCAGUGACAUUGGUAGACCAAUUUGUUUGGAUGAACCAAUAGCCAAUUAUUAUUAUUAUUAUUUAUAUUUUUCUCCGAAAAAGCAGAAGCCAAUUAGCCUAUGCUAUAGUGUGUUUUGAGGUUUCUUUUGAUGAUAUCCUCUUGUAUUUUGAAGAGGGGAAGAAAUUUGAAAUUAGGUUUAAAAUACGCUUUAAAGCACUAAAACUUGUCACAAAUGCCAGGUAAUUGAUCACUCUUGCCGUGAGGAACCCAAACAAGAAUUUUGUAAAAUAAUAUUCCAAACAAGGGUGAUGUUUUGUUGAUAAUUCUACUGAAGAUUCAAGGGUUAAUUCUAAUUUUAAUAUGAGAUAAAAUGCACAUGGGACUGCAAAUGAACUAUGUUGUUUGCAUAUAGCUCAGGGUUGGCUCGCUUAAAGCUCAUGUUAAUAUCAUUUGCUCGCAAGCUAGCUGAUAUCAAACUUGUUAAUUAAGCUUGUUUAGUAGUCGAGUUGAGUCUGAACAAUCCAUGACUUCUCUUUAUAAUCAAAAUUUUCCCUUAUUCCUGGUCUCAAGCAUGUGUUUAAGCUCGAGCACCAUAAUGAACUUGAAUUUGAGCUUGAGAUUGGGUAAGGAGCCAGAUGAGUCGAACUUGAGCCAUCAAGCAGUGUUCGAGCUGAGCUCUAACUUCAAGUUUUGACUUGACUCGAACUCAAGUUUAAUUGUUAAGUUCUACCAGCCUAAAGUUCAGCUUAACAAGAAAAGCAAGAAAGAAAGAAAGGAUAUUAAAGGCAAAUGAAAUGUACAUCGACAUCAUUAGGGAUUCGUGAAUGAACUGCAUUAUGUUUUUUGCCAUUGAUUUGCAAUUGCCAAGAAUGAUGAAUCUGGUGGUGUGCUCUCAGCUUUGAACUCUUCGUUGUACCAAUGGGUAUCUUCUUAUACACCUUUCGACUAGAGGGGUUCUGAUAGAAGCCCCAUUUUUCACUAUAGAUUCAGCUUUUGAGAUAAUUGGUAGUCUAACAUGGUACCAAGCCUUGAUUCUGGAAGGUCUUGUGUUUUAGUCUCCUAUGCAUCUGUUUCUUUAGUUUUGGUAAUGGGAUGUGAGUAGAUCUGAUUUUGUGCACGGUCGGAUCAAAAUGCUUGUCAUGAGUUCAAGUCUCCAAGUCAAUCCCUCUUCUGCCUCUGUAUUUGCUUCCAUUUUCAAUUACAAGGUGAGGAUGAAUUGAUCAUAAAGAAGGGUUUGAAUUGUGAUAGCUUGAUAUGCGUUGUUGGGUAAGCCUGUAACUUAUGGGGCAAAGGUUGACUAUACCGUAUUAACCCUUUUUUUUUUUCCCUGUUUUUUCCUGAAUGCGUAUUAAAUCUUUGGUUCAGAGAACUUGUUGGGUUCAAAGUCUACCCAUCUCGCUGAAGUUCUAACACGUUUCUCCAAUAUGGUCAAGAUCCCCUCAAAUGUGAGAGGCUUGCUCUCCUUUUUUUAUUUUAUUUAUUUAUUUUUUAUUUUUUAUUUUUUUAUUUUUUUAUGCCUGCUGGUUCUUUUUGGCUAUAAUCUGAGGUUAUGUAAAAAGCUUUAACUUGUGUAUCUUCUCAGGUUCUCUAAAAAACUUUUGCUAGCAUUGUCUUUCGCCUUGCAUAUUGGUUUGUCAGGGUUUCUCUUUUGGUCUUUGGAUUUUUUGUGCAUGCAGGGCAUGCUUGCAGGCUCUAUUAGAUUAGGGUUUUGUGUCUUCCAACAUAAAGGAGAAAUUCUUAGUAUAUGAAUUAUGGGAUUAUUGUACAUCUCUCUCUCAUUCUGUUAAAUAUACCCCCUCCGUCCCAAAACAAGUGUCAUGUUUUCCUUUUUUGUUCGUCUCAAAAUAAGUGUCCACUUUUUUAUUUCAAACAAUAUAUUUCACGUCAUUCCAGAAAUGUCCUUUGAGUUUAAAUUUCAAACUUCAAUAUUUAAAAUUUAAAAGGGUAACAUAGUAAUUUUUUAGGCAAACAAUAUAUGGUCCCACAUGUUCCCUUAAAAAUUACUACUCUCCAUAAGUGACACUUAUAUUGGGACGGAGGGAGUAUUACGAAAAAGAGUAGUGUUACAUUUUGUCCGCAUCCUCAGGUCUUGUGAGAAGCUUUUACAAGCUUCAAGUUUAGGUGUUUCAGUUUGUAUUAGGUGUUGUCUGGUGUUGGUUUUUUUUUAAUGAUUUUGGAUAUAUUUUCGGGCUUUGAUUAGACUACUGUUUUAUAUAUUCUUUUUGGUUAUUCGGAGUAAUAUUUAGGCGUAGUAAGAAAGUUAUUCUGUUUGCUUCUUGAUAAGAGAGAACUUGAAUAUCUAUUUGCUUCCAUGCAUGGGGCUGAAAAUCAAGUUGAGCACAACGACGACAGUUCAAGCUCAGUCGAAUUUCAUUUUCAGGGGAGGUUCGAGUAAUUUCUUAAACCAGAAGAGAGGUCUCUGUAAUUAUGACUAUAGGAGACGUUCGUGUAAUUUAGCCAAAAGAAAAAAGAAAAAAUAAAAAAACACAUGAUUCCCGUGCCACCAAUACGAACACCACCACAUCAUGCAUUUUUGUCACUUUUAACAAUAACGUAAUAAUUUUUUUUCCUUGACAUUUCUCUCAAGAAAUAGACCGUAGAAAGCAUGCAAAAAAAUAUAAUUAAAAAUAAAACAUAGGCAUAUCCGAUCCCCCAAGUGCCAUUUUGGUCAUGGAAUGUGUAUUCUAUGAAGAAUUUUCUGGAUUUAUAUUCAAUGGGAGACUAAGGAAACAAGGUGGAACAGUGGUUUAUAAUAACGAGAAGAUGCACUGAAAUCUCACUUACAAUGGCAUGUUGAUAGGUCAUAUAACCGUUCUAAAAUUUGAGAAUAUGUAACAAUUUUGGAAUGGAUGCACUGAAUCUUGCAGGAGUGAAUUUUUUUUAUAUGCUAUUCUAUUUAUUAUUUUGAAGUGGAUUAAAACUUAAAAAAAAAAAAAAAAAAAAAAAAAAAUGAGAUUGCAGGUUCUGGCACUAACAAAGAUUGCAUUCAUGGAUGAAGACACACAUAAAAUGAAGGACCAUUUUAUUGAAUGAGCAAGUUCAUAGAUUUUAAUUAUCACAACCAUGUAUAAUAUAAUGCCUCAUUGAAAUCAACUGAGCACAUUAGAGAUGUAAAAAAUAAAAGAUCGGACCAUCCUAUACGAGGACAAAUGCUAUAAAGUGAGCACACCUCUAUUUGAAUUUUGAAUUGAGCGCAAAUGUUCUCGAUAAUUUUCCUAGACCUUGACCUGAAAAAACCACAGAACAAAUAUUACUAACACUAACAUGAGUAAGGAAAAUCAUUUAUAAUAUGAAACAAUAAUAUCCAUUUAUGUAAAUUUUAUAAUUAGGCUAACAGUCUUCACAUAAUCUUCAUGAACAGUGUGUUUUUCAUAUUGCUCAUGUACAUACCAAUAAGCACCCAGAAAUACCUUUUAAAAAAAAAAAAACAAAUAUCACCAAAAUGUUACUGGGCAUCAACAACGAUAAAAAUGACGGAUUUGCCAUUACAUAUUUAAAACAAUAACAAAAAAAAAAGUUUAUUUCACAAAGCCCCCUUAAACUAUAUCUGCUUCUCAUAUUGCCCAGGAGGGAGCCAUAAAUGUGAAAUUUCAGAAAAACUAGAUCGCCAAAUGUAUGAAGAAUUUGUUCCUUGGAGUACCCUAUACGUACAAACUACAAACACUAGAUUAGAAUUAGAUGGUAAGACAGGAAAAAAUAAAUAAAUAAACAGAUAAUUCUUAAUUAAAAGGCUAAUAUGAUGCAAAACAUAAUAGCACUUGAAAAACACCAAAAGGAAUAUCUAUAACAACGGCAACCAGCGAAUGCUAUCCAAACAAAAGUAUUUUGGUUAGAAUUAACAUGAACUACUAAUUUUUCAAAUAAUGAUGAUGAUUGGAAGAAAAUAAAAAAUAGCAUUAUGAAUUUUUAUGACUUUUGUUUGUCACAAGCAUAUUGCCUAACAGGUAUUAGGCCUUCCCUCUUUGUUUAAUAUUGUGAAUUUGAGCCUGAUUGUGUAUCUAACACCAUACCAGACUCUUGGCGAGAUUCCAAAAUGUUCCGGUUUUCCUUUGCCCUUUUCUGUCCUGAAAAGCAUUUGAGGGGAAAAUAUUUA